rnacentral:tRNA from 2 species
GCCAGCGUAGCUCAGUUGGUAGAGCAACUGAUUUGUAAUCAGUAGGUCGGGGGUUCGAUUCCCUUCGCUGGCUCCA